CUUGAGGGAAGUAGGGCCCUGUCCUUGACCACUUACCAGGGCCUGUCCCUCAUUCACCCGACCCAACUUUGCUGGGGGGUGUGAGGUGGGGUAAUUUAUUCAGUUCUAACCAGGAAAGGUAAAAUUAUAACAGGAUUAAUAACACAAGUGUCAUGGCCUUCCAAGGGCCCCAAGACGAUCCCAUCCCCCUUCCCUGCUCAGAACCUGCCUGUCCUGCACCCUGGCCUGUCCUCUGGAGGUUAUCUGAUGAGGGCCUAUUCUGAGGAGGCACCUCCCAGUGCACCCCCUUCCCCCACUACCCCCACUGGCUGCCCUCUGAGACCCCAGCAGUCUGGGCAGAGCAGGUCUCAAGUUCUAGGAAAGGAUCCUAAGCAAAUGCUGCCAAGAGCUGCAGUUCUUGGAACCAGCACUGCAGGGCGAGGGGACACUUCCUGGAACCUGCUGGCCCUUCCAGGGAGUGAGGCUCAGAGGACAGCCAGUGACCUGGGGUAAGUGGGGGGAGAGGGUACUGAGCCCUUAGCUUCGGUCUCUGCCUCCAGGAAGCCCUCCCUGACUGCAGGUGCCUCCUUAGACUCCUCCAUCCCGGUGCUGGAUCUGGCAUGACCUCUGAAGUGCCCGGUGUCCAGCCUGGCAGAGUGGACGACGAGAAACAGGGGGCCCAGGCCCCAGCUUCAGCAUCAAGCCACCCAGGACAUGCAUCUGGCCUUUUGGAAAAUAGCCUGGAGAAUGCAGAGGAGAGGCUGCAGUGAGUGGGCACUGACAACUGUCUGGGACUGGGUUGAAGUCUGGCCACAUUUCAAGGGAAUGGCCAUGAGUGUUCCCAUCACAGGAUCCCAGGAGCAGCAUUGUUAGAGCAGGGGCCUGGAAGUAUGGCUGAGGGUGCUGAGUGAGCAGGUCAGGGUCACAUAGCUGGGAGGCACUAGGACAACCUUUUAACCACUCAUGACCCCUUUACCUUCAGAAUGGAGAACCUCCCCUGGCCAAGGCUGGACGGGGUGUCGGCAAGAACUUGCCUCUCUCCUCCCACCCUCAGGUCACUCCUUGGCCCUCACUGAGCACAGCGCCAAGCGUGCUACCCAUCCACCCCAAUGUCACAGAGAAGAUGGGGACAAUGCUGGCGUUAAGAAGGGCUAGGACCCAGUGGGUGGGUGGCAGCUGUGAGGUGGGGCUAUGGCAGAGAGGUCCUCCCUCCCCUGUAGGAGGGCAGUGGGGCAGCCCAAGGACACAGGUCAUUGCUGUGCUUGUACUCUGCAGUGGCCAGUUCUCAGAAGCUACCUGGGGCAGCUGGCAGUGGGUGGGAGUGCUGCAUUCUCUGUCACUUAGAGGCCUUGAUGCCUGCACCCAGGUCAGGCUGGCUGUGGCUGGAAAGAACCUGCUGUGGAUGAAGUUGACCUGGGACCCACGUGACCUGAGUGAAAAGAGCUAUGGGUUUGCAGGGGACACCGGUGCCCUGCUGCAGGUGGUUCUAGAGCUAGGUAUCCUGCAUCGUGACUUGAGCAAGUCAUGAACCCACUCUGAGCCUCAGUUUCCCACUCUGUUUUUGGUGUUUGGUUUGGUUUGGUUUUGAGACAGGGUCUCACCCUGUUGCCCAGGCUGGAGUCCAGUGGCACAAUCUCGGCUCACUGCAGCCUCUACCUCCUGAGCUCAAGCGAUCCUCCCACCUCAGUCUCCCAAGUAGCUGAGACUACAGGUGUGUGCCACCACACCCCACUAAUUUUUUGUACAGAUCUAGUUUCACCAUGUUGCCCAGGCUGGUCUGAACUCCUGGGCUCAAGCAAUUCUCCUCCCUCGGCCUCCCAAAGCACUGGGAUUACAGGCGUGAGCCACUGCACCGGGCCUCCACCUCUACUUUGGGGACAAUGUUAUCACUUGCCUUAUGGAAUCGUUGUAAGGAGGAAAUGUGUAGACUUGGUGAUUUUUGUUUCUCCUCGGAGUCUUCCCCUGGAUCCCAACUCACCCCUCCAGCUCCCACUUCACCAUGAGCCCAUGGAGACAUGAGCCCCAGAAGAGCUCUUUCUCUGGUCUCUAUUGCAGCAAGAAGUACCUGUGGGCACACUGGAGCAUAGGCCUUGAUGUUUGCAGUGCUCCAGGCAAAAGGACAAGUGGAGGCUCACAUACCAGAAUCUAAAUAUUAAACAACCAUAAAUCAAGCUGCUAAUGAAAUGUGUUCUAUCCUCCUACUGAACAAAUAAGCUUUCAUAGGAGUAAAAACAUCUGUAAAUCUACAGUUUUUAUAUAUCUGAAAGUCAGCAGAUAUCCAAAAUGAUGAAACUUAGUAAUUAUCACUCAUGUCCAGGUGUUCAGUGACCUGAGGUUUAAGUGAGAGAAUGAAGACUUGCCUGAUGCCUAAGAUAUUCUGUAUUUAUUCUGUAACAUUGAUUCUCCUCGUCUUUAGUCUAGUAAAAUGAUUGAUUAUGUUGUUACAGUCAAGACUUCUACACUAUUACUGUUCUUUUCAUAGUAAUGAUUAAAAAGAUUAAAAUAAGGCUGGGCAUGGUGGCUCACACAUGUAAUCCCAGAGCUUUGAGAAACCAAAGUGACAGGAUUGCUUGAGGCAGGAGUUCAAGUUUACAGUAAGCUAUGACUAUACUACUGUACUCCAGACUGGGCAACAGAGCAAGACCCUGUCUAUAAAAAAAAUAAUAAUUUUUAAAAAGACUAAAAUAAAAUAUUGGCCAGGUGUGGUGGCUCACACCUGU
rnacentral:lncRNA from 1 species